GCCUUCGUGGUAUAUUAGUCAGCACGUUCGGCGCGUAUUCGAGAGGUCCGUGGUUCGAGUCCUGGCGAGGGCA
rfam:Stegodyphus mimosarum contig67363, whole genome shotgun sequence.